GACCAAUCUUUUAUUGAGAUACAUCCAAGAUGAUGUGACGAAGUCACACUAGCGAUGAACCCAAGGACUACCAAUUCAGCCAGCUGUAUGGUGAAACCUCUACCUGAUAUCCAUGAUCAAAAAAUCUCGAUGUAGAGGUGAAGAAUAUUCCUCUUAUGAUAAAGAGCCAGAAUAUGGCCUAACAAUCUACAGAGCUAGAUCUAACAAACUUACAGAUUUUGGCUAAUAGGCAACGGGCUCAACCUCUAAAUAAAAGAGGUACGAAAGAGACCCCUAAGAUAACCAAGCAAGCAAAGAAAAAUACUCAAGUUCUCUCUCUGCUCUCCCAACUCAUGUGAUCUUUACUCUUUACUAUUCUAAAGCUCCGGCUAACUUAAGUACUAGAGGAUCUUCUGUCGGAACACAUCCUGUGAGUGCAGACUUUCCUUACAGGUAUCCUUCGAUGUCACAGAUCUCCAUCAGGAUGUUCCAACUACAUUAGCACCUCCCUCAAGUUUUGCGGCAACUGGAGACAUCUUUAAAAUGAAAUUGAUCAUCACACUAAUUGAACACA
rnacentral:lncRNA from 1 species